rnacentral:rRNA from 1 species
GACAGAGGAUGCAAGCGUUAAUCGGAAUUACUGGGCGUAAAGCGUGCGCAGGCGGUUGUGCAAGACAGAUGUGAAAUCCCCGGGCUCAACCCUGGGAAUUGCAUUUGUGACUGCACGGCUAGAGUGUGUCAGAGGGGGGUAGAAUUCCACGUGUGAGCAGUGAAAUGCGUAGAGAUGUGGAGGAAUACCGAUGGCGAAGGCAGCCCCCUGGGAUAACACUGACGCCUGCAUAGCAC